GGCGCGUUAACAAAGCGGUUAUGUAGCGAUUGCAAAUCCGUCUAGUCCGGUUCGACUCCGGAACGCGCCC
rnacentral:tRNA from 1 species